rnacentral:misc_RNA from 1 species
AGAUUCCACCCAACAGAUGAGGAGCUUGUUGUUCAGUACUUGAAGAGAAAGGUUUAUGCUUGCCCCCUUCCUGCUUCUAUAAUCCCUGAAGUUGAUGUCUGCAAGUCUGAUCCUUGGGAUUUGCCAGGUGAUUUGGAGCAAGAGAGGUACUUUUUCAGCACCAGGGAAGCCAAGUAUCCCAAUGGUAACCGAUCCAACAGAGCCACAAGUUCUGG